ensembl:lncRNA
GGUAAGCAGUCUUUAUAAAUAUUAAUGCAUUUUUCUUGAUCCGACAGUGCUUAUAGACAAUUAUUAUUAGUAUAGUAAAGUAAAAUUAAAAGUAAUGUAAAAUUUGUUUGGGUUUUUGUUUGUUUUUUGCAGCAAGGCAGCCUUUAUUUUAUUUAAAACAGUAAAACAGUAAUAUUGUGAAAUACUUUCACAACUUAAAAGAACGUUUUUCUGUUCAUUUGAAAGUUUUUAUAUAUAUAUAUAUAUAUAUAUGACACAGUGCUUACAGUGAAUAUUAGUACUGAGUAAAGUGCAGCAAGAUUUUUGUGUAGUUUGUGUAAUUUCUUGUAUCUGUAUUCUUCAGCUUUGACUGGAAGAUUUGUAAAAGCCUACUGUGCCAGUGCCUGUAGAAUCUACUAGUAUGGCCUCAUUUGGGCCAUCUGAGCAGGAUGACCAUGAACUUGUUUCUCAGGCAGACUUGCUGGAAUCUCAGGAAAACAAAUUUGCCUUCCUGUGGGCUGGAAUCACACAUUGCCACCUGCUGAUCAGCUCUGGAUAUCAAAGGUUUUGUUUAAGUAUUCAUCCCACAACCAACCAGAAAUGGACUUCACCAGAGUGGAUAGGAUGUGGUAGUACCCUCCACAGUCCCUUUUUGCAGUUGCAGGAGUACCAAAUGCUUGAUCGUGGGCCCUCACAUACAACAUAUCAUAGGGCUGAAAUCCUCAGCUUUUGGGAAGGGCUUUAAAAUAAUCAUCAAAAAUAUUCAGGGAUAAAGACAGAAAUGUGUUCGCUACUUUUCUGACCUUUUUGACCCCCGAAACAAGGUCGUUGGGCCACCAAACUUUUCCGCCAGCUCAAGGAAGUCCCAUUGAGACAAAGAUUUUGAAUUCGGCUCAAUUGGACCCUUUUGAGCUGUGUCCACGAAGUUAGUAUGGUAAACCCAUUCAAAUAGGUUGCAAGUGGGAUUUAUCUAAAAGGGUCCCAGGGGCCCCAAAUUGCACACGGGUCUCCGUCAAUGGCCCCUGAGUGAUGUACUGAGCGGGCUGAGGCCCAGCCCACUAAAUAGUAUUUUUUAUUAUUUUUGAUCCAUCUCUCUCCUUGCCAUUUAAGUCAAUGGGAAAGACUCAGACAUAGGCCCGAUUUCAGUCCCACACUCAGCCGUACUUAAAAGGCUUAGAAAGCAGCUAGGGGCCCCAAACUUUGGGGGCCAAUUCAGGGGCCUCUGGUAGUAAACCCUACAAAGUUUUGAGGUCCUAUGACCUGUCGUAUCCGAACAGAAGACGUCCCACUUGUCAACUAAUCGUGUAGCAGUUCGGUGUACACGCUGUCCCUUUUUUGACCUUUUGACCCCUAAACGUGGUCGUAGGAUAACCAAACUUUUCCUCCAGGGGACCGUAACGAUACGCAUAUGGCGCACUCGGGUCAAUCUGAGUUCUCCGAGCCGUGUCUGUGAAGUUACUAUAGUAAACCCAUUCAAAUAGGUGGAGAGUGGGCUUUUCCUAGAAGGGCCCCAGGGCCCCCACAUUUGCAUUGUGGUCCCCAGGGGCCCGCCAAAUGACAUACUGAGGACCUGGGUUCUAAAGUGAAAAGAAUAUUUUUUGGGCUCUUACAAAAAAUCUCUGCUGCAGGCCUCUCUCUCUUAUACACAGCAAGACCCUUUUGAGAAUUUUAAGUUGGGGAAGCUCAAUUGUUUCUGCAAUGGCCUAGAGCCCCGUGGUUUGGGGCCGUGUGUCAGGGGCCCCUAC